rnacentral:rRNA from 1 species
UACAGAGGGGGCGAGCGUUAUUCGGAAUUAUUGGGCGUAAAGGGCGCGUAGGCGGCUUUUCAAGUGACGUGUGAAAUCCCUCGGCUUAACCGAGGAACUGCCUGUCAGACUGGAAGGCUUGAGACCGGGAGAGGUGAGUGGAAUUCCCAGUGUAGCGGUGAAAUGCGUAGAUAUUGGGAGGAACACCAGUGGCGAAGGCGGCUCACUGGACCGGAACUGACGCUGAGGCGCGAAAGCGUGGGGAGCAAACAGG